rnacentral:rRNA from 1 species
GUGGGGAAUAUUGGACAAUGGGCGCAAGCCUGAUCCAGCCAUGCCGCGUGAGUGAUGAAGGCCCUAGGGUUGUAAAGCUCUUUCACCGGUGAAGAUAAUGACGGUAACCGGAGAAGAAGCCCCGGCUAACUUCGUGCCAGCAGCCGCGGUAAUACGAAGGGGGCUAGCGUUGUUCGGAAUUACUGGGCGUAAAGCGCACGUAGGCGGGUAUUUAAGUCAGGGGUGAAAUCCCAGAGCUCAACUCUGGAACUGCCUUUGAUACUGGGUACCUAGAGUAUGGAAGAGGUGAGUGGAAUUCCGAGUGUAGAGGUGAAAUUCGUAGAUAUUCGGAGGAACACCAGUGGCGAAGGCGGCUCACUGGUCCAUUACUGACGCUGAGGUGCGAAAGCGUGGGGAGCAAACAGGAUUAGAAACCCCGGUAGUCC